GACGAACGCUGGCGGCGUGCUUAACACAUGCAAGUCGAACGGAAAGGCCCUGCUUUUGUGGAGUGCUCGAGUGGCGAACGGGUGAGUAAUACGUGAGUAACCUGCCCUUGACUUUGGGAUAACUUCAGGAAACUGGGGCUAAUACCGGAUAGGAGCUCCUGCUGCAUGGUGGGGGUUGGAAAGUUUCGGCGGUUGGGGCUGGACUCGCGGCUUAUCAGCUUGUUGGUGGGGUAGUGGCUUACCAAGGCUUUGACGGGUAGCCGGCCUGAGAGGGUGACCGGCCACAUUGGGACUGAGAUACGGCCCAGACUCCUACGGGAGGCAGCAGUGGGGAAUAUUGCACAAUGGGCGGAAGCCUGAUGCAGCAACGCCGCGUGCGGGAUGACGGCCUUCGGGUUGUAAACCGCUUUCGCCUGUGACGAAGCGUGGGUGACGGUAAUGGGUAAAGAAGCACCGGCUAACUACGUG
rnacentral:rRNA from 1 species